AGAAGGGAUAUAUAUGUAUCGUCAAGACCAACAUAUGUGGCAUUGUGGUAACUCGUUCCUUAUUCCCAAGACAAAGAAGAGACGUUGGUACUCCGUCAGUAGUUUCAAAGAAAAGUGCCAUUUUCACCUGUACUAAUAUCAGAAUCGAACGAUGAACCAGAACCAGGCCAAUAAGCAUCAAGAUGAGUGAGGUGCAUCUGUACACGUUGGUAACAAAGAACAACUUGAAUUCAGAGCAACGACAACUUUUUGACUUGGUGAGAGCUGCCGGCAUCAUUAUACAUCCUCAGCUGUUCAAAACUGUAAUGGAUCUGCUGGCCCAGAACAUCCCACCACACGCCCUCAUCAACCUUCUUAGAGAUCUGAGCAGCAAAAUACCGUGUGGGGAGGAUGUAAUUAAUCAAAACACUGUGCAAGAAGGAAACAUGAAUGACAAUCUCUGAUAAAAGUGACUGAAUAUAGAAGAUGGGGUUGACAGUCUCUUUCCUCCAAACUUGAAAAGCAAGUUACAUCAACCACCAAGCACAUAGCUGGCUCUCAUACCCAUAAUUUAUAAAAAAUAUAUAAAUGAAAUUGUCAUAAAAAUAAAGAUUUGGUAAUGAAAAACAGUUGUGUAAGCAAAAUAUAAGGGAAACCAUUGAUAGAAAAAAGUAUGAAAAAUAACAACUUAAAUUUAUAGUACUAUUAUAUUUGAUAAUGUAGACAGUGUGAGAAGACUUCACCCAGAUGGGUUGAAAAUCCUCCCUCCUUCCUUCCCUCUCCAAUUUCAAUCUAUGUACAGUAGCUAAAACAACUAUCUGUGCAGGUGGGGGUCGAUAUGCUCCGAAAUUUUACGCGUGACUAGUGACAGCCGUCACAUACCAAAAUUUAUCGUCCGUGGUCUCAUAUUGUAUCCCUCAAAGUAUGCACAGAUAGUUGUUUUAGCUACUGUACAUGGACGUACUGUUAUUGUCAUCUCCCUGUUCAUCAUCAUCACUCAUCCAGACUUCCUCCACCCUCUCAGCUGCUCAUGUUGUGUGAUGGUGAAAAUAUAUCCUGGCAUGCAUUUUCCUUCUACAGUUACCUGCUGCUCAUCUUGUUAAGGUACAUAGGCAACUAAAAUCCUUGAACUGACUUUCAUCUCAUUGUAUGUACACUGAAGUAAUCACGUAGAUUCCGUAAAUUAACUUAACUCGACAUAUUUUCCCAGGAAACAUAGACGACACAGUACAAUGUAGUAUUAAGUCGUGUCAAAGUAGAGAAUAAUUUUAUUACAGUGAAACCUCUAUUUAAUGGUGAAGAAAGUCCAUUAUAUCGAGGGUUCGUUAGAUGUGAAAUUCCCGUCUGACGGAUUACAUGAAGAGAUAAGUCCGUUAUAUGGAGGUUUCACUGUAUUUUGUUAUGCUAUACUACAGGUGGACGUAAUCCAGAGCAAACACUAACUGUCUCUUCUCACAUCUUCAUCCAUUCACUCUUAACUACCUUACUGUGACAUGCUGUGCUCUUCUGGUGUUCACAUGGAGUACUGCUUCUAGGUGCUCACCCCUUUCAUAUCCAGUACUGUACUUCCUUCACUCCAUCUUUCCAACUCCUCCUUUGUUGUAGGAGGUGAUGGUGGUGAUACAAUAGGUGGAGGUGAUGAUGGUGGUGGUAGGUGAUGAUGGUGGUGGUAGGUGAUGAUGGAGGUGGUGAUGGUGGUGGUUCUCUGGGGUUGUUUGUCUUUUGGGGAUGGGAAUCUAUGAAUGAGAUAAACAUACAGUGCUGUACAGUUGUACUCACUUUACGCGGUCAAUUGAACCCACAGGGUACCGCGUUAAGAAACCGCGUUAAGUGAACAACAGAACAUAUGGGAUU